CGCCCCUCCGGGAGAAUGGCGACUCCACCCCGAGACAGUCCAGCUGAUUUGGAGACGCUUUGGGGACGCUCAGGUAGACCUGUUUGCCUCCCCGGACACGUCCCAUUGCCAGUGGUUUUACUCCCUGGCCGAGGGACCCCUCGGCACGGACGCACUGGCGUGCAGCUGGCCUCGGGGCCUACGCAAAUAUGCGUUUCCCCCAGUGAGCCUUCUCGCACAGACACUGUGCAAGGUCAGGGAGGACGAGGAGCAGGUCCUCUUGGUGGCGCCAUACUGGCCCAGUCGGACUUGGUUCCCCGAACUGAUGCUCCUCGCGACAGCCCCUCCUUGGCGAAUUCCUCUGAGGAGGGAUCUCCUUUCUCAGAGAGGGGGCACCCUCUGGCACCCGCGUCCAGACUUGUGGAAUCUCCACUUAUGGUCCCUGGACGGGACGCGGAGGUUCUAGGUGGGCUACCUCCAGCGGUAGUAAACACCAUCGCUUCAGCUAGGGCCCCGUCUACCAGACACGCUUACAGCCUGAAGUGGAACCUGUUCGUCGGUUGGUGCUCUUCCCGCCUGGAAGACCCCCGUAGAUGCCCGAUCGCAGUCGUGCUUUCUUUCCUGCAGGAUGGCUUGGAGCGAAGGCUGUCUCCCUCCACCCUGAAAGUGUAUGUUGCCGCCAUUGCCGCACAUCACGAUGCAGUAGACGGUAAGUCUCUAGGGAAGCACGACCUGAUCAUCAGGUUUCUCAGAGGGGCAAGGAGGCUGAAUCCUCCGCGCCCUCACCUGUUACCCUCUUGGGAUCUCCCCUCGGUCCUCAUGGCCCUGAAGGAGGAGCCCUUCGAGCCUCUGCAGUCAGUAGAGCUUAAGGUUCUGUCAUUAAAGACAGCGCUCCUCACCGCUUUGGCCUCGGUCAAGAGGGUAGGGGACCUGCAGGCAUUCUCGGUUGACGAUUCGUGCCUAGAAUUCGGGACGGGUAACUCUCACGUUGUCCUGAGACCCCGGCCCGGAUAUGUGCCCAAAGUUCCCACCACGCCUUUCAGGGAUCAGGUGGUGAACUUGCAAGCGCUGCCCCGGGAGGAGGCAGACCCAGCCAUCGCUCUGCUCUGUCCCGUUCGCGCUUUGCGCAUUUACGUGGACCGUACGCGGAGCUUCAGGACCUCAGACCAGCUCUUUGUCUGCUUUGGAGGUCAGCAGAAGGGAAAGGCUGUCUCCAAACAAAGACUUGCCCACUGGUU
rnacentral:lncRNA from 1 species